GCGGGGCGGGCUCGGGCUUCGGCCCCCGCGCGGUCGCUGCCUGCCGGGGGCGGGGGGACGAGAAGUGCGCGUUCCCGCGUGGGUGUGAGAACUGCCCGCUUUUCGGCAAUUCCUGUUUGAUAACUUUUCUGAGAAACCGUACGCACUCCCGAGGGGUCGGAUAGAGCCGCGCUCUAAAGCAGAGGGGUCGCCGUUCUGGUGGGGGGUCGCCACGGAGGCAGGGCGCUUUCUGUUUGGGGCCGCUCAGCUGUUCCGGGGGUGUGAGAGACAGCAGGGGCGGCCUGCCCCGCGUACGGAACGUGAAGCGCUUCCGCUCGAGCCCAGCACCUGCUUCCGAGCGGAACGUCGUGCAGCUUCGUGAAAGGGGUUGGUCCUGGCCGACUCGCUGCUUCCGAGCUCGGACGCUGCCUGCGGUGUCUGAGAAGACGUCGCACCCCGUGAUUACCUUGUUUUCCAGUAAACUCGAUCAGGGUAAUUCCCAGUUCGGCUUCCAAGGAAACUUUGAUUCAAGGGAUCCUGGAAUAACAACUUGGUAACUGUGAUGGCUGCAGGGACAAAGCCUGGUGUCUUCGGGACAAAACAGUGACACUCCGCAGACUGCUUUGCUGUGCAGAGUGAAAGCCGGUAAGGUGGGGAAGACUGCCCGCUGCAGACCAAACUGCCAUCACAGCACUGUCAGCAAAACAGCUGAUCAAAGACUUGAUGCUAGCAGGAGCUUUUUGGGUGGGGGAAGCACUGGCGUGCAUGGAUGGCAUUGUCAGCGUCUCAUUAAUGGUUCAACUAGGCUUUAAGUUCCGUGAGGGCAACAACCGUAUUUAUUACGUUUACCAUCAUGUCUCCAGGCUAGCACCUGAAUGAAUAAACAAUACCUCCCUUCUUC